rnacentral:rRNA from 1 species
GUGUCAGCAGCCGCGGUAAGACGUAGGGCGCGAGCGUUGUCCGGAUUUAUUGGGCGUAAAGAGCUCGUAGGCGGCUUGUCGCGUCGGCUGUGAAAUCCCGUGGCUCAACUGCGGGCUUGCAGCCGAUACGGGCAGGCUAGAGUUCGGUAGGGGAGACUGGAAUUCCUGGUGUAGCGGUGAAAUGCGCAGAUAUCAGGAGGAACACCGGUGGCGAAGGCGGGUCUCUGGGCCGAUACUGACGCUGAGGAGCGAAAGCGUGGGGAGCGAACAGGAUUAGAUACCCGCGUAGUCC